rnacentral:rRNA from 1 species
GGGUCAGUAGGUUGGUCGUGCCACCGGUACGUACUGGUCUCACUGAUUCCUCCUUCCUGAAGAACCGUAAUGCCAUUAAUUUGGUGUUGCGGGGAAACAGGACUGUUACUUUGAAAAAAUUAGAGUGUUUAAAGCAAGCUAACGCUUGAAUUCAUUAGCAUGGAAUAAUGAAAUUGGACGAUCGAUCCUAUUUUGUUGGUUUCUAGGAUUGACGUA